rnacentral:rRNA from 1 species
AGAGGGGUGCAAGCGUUAAUCGGAAUGACUGGGGCGUAAAGGGGCACGUAGGCGGGUAACAUAAGUUAGUUGUGAAAGACCAGAGCUUAACUUUGGUAAGUCAACUAAAACUGUGUUACUAGAGUACAGUAGAGGUAAGAGGAAUUUCCGGUGUAGCGGUGAAAUGCGUAGAUAUCGGAAGGAACACCAAUGGCGAAGGCAACUUACUGGACUGUAACUGACGUUGAGGUGCGAAAGCGUGGGUAGCGAACAGGAUUAGAUACCCUGGUAGUCCACGCCGUAAACGAUGAAAACUAGCUGUUUUAGACCGAGAGUCCGAAGUAGCGAAGCAAACGCAAUAAGUUUUCCGCCUGGGGAGUACGACCGCAAGGUUA